rnacentral:rRNA from 1 species
AUUGAACGCUGGCGGCAUGCCUAACACAUGCAAGUCGAACGGUAACAGGCCCUUCGGGGCGCUGACGAGUGGCGGACGGGUGAGUAAUGCUUAGGAAUCUGCCUAGUAGUGGGGGAUAACCCGGGGAAACUCGGGCUAAUACCGCAUACGUCCUACGGGAGAAAGCGGGGGACCUUCGGGCCUCGCGCUAUUAGAUGAGCCUAAGUCCGAUUAGCUAGUUGGUAGGGUAAUAGCCUACCAAGGCGACGAUCGGUAGCUGGUCUGAGAGGACGACCAGCCACACUGGGACUGAGACACGGCCCAGACUCCUACGGGAGGGCAGCAGUGGGGAAUAUUGGACAAUGGGCGCAAGCCUGAUCCAGCGAUGCCGCGUGUGUGAAGAAGGCCUGCGGGUUGUAAAGCACUUUC